CAUUAAAACCAUCACAAAAGUUGUUAUUCAGAGCUCUGAGUAACAACUUUUGUGAUGGUUUUAAUGUGUUUUAAAACACAUUAAAAGCAACCUUCAUGUUAGCUUACUCUGCUAUGUCCAAAGAAAUACUUAACAUCCUUUUGUUUCACAUUUCUGGCUUGCCUCAGAAAUACUGAGGAUAGCUAGCACACUCUAUACAAGUAAAAGCAAUGUGUUGAAAUGAGCCUGACUAUUAUAAAGAUAGAUCCUUCUCAAUAGAUUUUAGUCAACUGGAAAAUGGAAGUACCCAUUUUUCAAAAUAGGAUGUAUGAACAUGACAAUUCAAUAGAUCUGCUGUUCAGUAUUGUUUCUUAUUCUAUUUACUUAAGAAAAAAAACCCUACACUUCUGCUGAAAAACCAAGCCAGCAAGUAAUUUUGCCCUGAAAGGUAGAGGUUAUACUGCCUGCAUUUCGUGAACUGCAGAAAAAUACUUCUCCAUUAACAUGAUGAUUAAUGCCAAGUAUUCCUAACCAGCUAGCUUAAUAAGCUUUCACUCCACCUCCAACCAAGAUGAACACCAUUUAAACAAGAAUCCUGAUUCCCUUAACAACGAUGAAGAAAAGCAGGCCUGUGAAUAUAUAAAUAAUAUUUUGCCCACCUGGAAGGUUAGACCACAUACAGCAACACCUGCAUUUUAGUAGACGACCAGGCAUUUCCUGCCUGAAACACAAGCCUGAAAAACACUUACAGGCUCUUUAAAAACAUUAACAAGAACAACCUUCUACUGCAAUGUAAAAGCUGGAAGGUUGUUCUUCUAUAAAAAAAAAUUAACUAAGCACACCAUCUAUGAUCUUUAAGCUAAAUACUUAGCUGCAUUUGACAAGCAAUAGCACAGACAGUCCCUUUUUCAAAAAGGAGUUCCCAUCGUGGUUUACACCACCAGCUCAAGCCUCAACAGGUUCAAGUGACUCGGACAAGUACAACCACAUUCAGCAGGGUAGGGCAAGAGAGAAAACCUCACUGCAGACAUGCUGGGGCUCUUCGAACGCAAACCACCAAAUUCGGCAUUCUGAAUAGUAGCUGUAAACCAAAGCAAAAAACUGUUAUGUCAGACAACACAGUAAACACUUAUCAUACAUCUAGAAAGAAACAGUAAUACAUGAAAUGUCAGAGUGGCCUUCAAAAAUUGCUCAUAACCCAUAGCGCCACAAUAAUCAAAUGAGAAAGGGGUAGAAUAAGGACAAAUACUACUAGAUGUCCAUCCAGAAGAGGAAUACUGCGCAGAAACAGCACUCCUUAAUGUCUGAAAAUCCAAUAGCACAGCGACAUCCAGCAGACCCUCGAUCUUGCAAGAUUAAGACUACAGCUGAGCAGAACUAAACAGCGACCAUUAGACUUUAGUAUCAUUUUCACUGUUUCUUCUGUUCACCUUCUACUAGUUGGAUUCCUUUCAAACUUUGAAAAUCAGCUUGAUGCUACUUUAAAAAACAACACUACACUAUCUUGUUACAACAAAAUGGAGACGCAGAAGAGACUAUUAAGUAUGCCAGAGCUGCACAUUAGCACACACACCACAAAGAGAAAAUAUAGAUUAAGAAAGCAUGGCUUGCAGAACAAAAGAAAAACCUUAUUCCCUCCAAUAUUUUGUUAUCUGAGGAUCUGGGUACCCUAAACCAGAACCUGCAAGUUCUCCAAUCUCUUCUCUUUUUCUCCUCUGCUUGAAGAAAUUCAGAUAACCUGACUAGUGGCAAGAUCGGUGUCCAUCUAUGGCUUUUUGAAUGUAGGCUAGUCAAGUUUUUUUUUUUUAAAAAGAAAAGAUGCCAUUUCCUUGCUAAUAAGCAGGUGAGAUUUACACAGCCAACAUGCAGUUUUAGUUUAAUGUAGUUUUGCUCAAGAGUCUAUUAACAUAAACAAGAGAUAUAGGUCUGCCCUAAAGCUUUUUCUUCCUUCUCCAAGUACAUCUGUUGCCCUAACAAGUUAUUAACCCUCUAUCCUCUUAUAACCACUGGAAAGCAGUCACACUAGCACUCUGUAAGACAUGGCAAUUAUGACGGUUAAAGACUGGAGUUCCAGAAACACCUACCUACCCUCAUAUAGAAGACUGACUGAAAAGAAAGCUACUUAUAAUUUAUCAGACCUGACUCAAACUUGAAACCACAGAGUUAACCCUGUAACCUGAGCCAGAGUAGUCUCAUCCUCAAAGCAGACACAAAACACCUUGUGGAUCCUUCCGAUGGAUAUAUUCUCCUUCCCCUUAAAUAAAAUCCUUGCUGGAAAAAGAA